CCAAGAAGUCUAUCUUGCGCGCAAGCCAAUGGGUAAAUGGUGCGGUACGCCGCCCAUGACUGGAAACCCACAGGCACAGACAAAUCGAGUGUUGCGGGAUUACGGGUACGGCCGAUGGCGCAAGCCUUCGUCGGACCCCUCCAUCCCAGGGUGUCCCGUUCGGGUGCUUGCACCCAGCGGACAUCCCCGGAGUGCGUAGGAUGUGACCCGAAAGAUGGUGAACUAUGCCUGAUCAGGUUGAAGUCAGGGGAAACCCUGAUGGAGGACCGAAGCAAUUCUGACGUGCAAAUCGAUUGUCAGAGUUGGGCAUAGGGGCGAAAGACCAAUCGAACCAUC
rnacentral:rRNA from 1 species